rnacentral:rRNA from 1 species
AGAGUUUGAUCAUGGCUCAGGACGAACGCUGGCGGCGUGCUUAAUACAUGCAAGUCGAGCGAGGUUACUGUUUCGGAUCCCUUCGGGGUGAAGAAGCUUUAACCUAGCGGCGGACGGGUGAGUAACGCGUGGGUAACCUACCCCAAAGUCCGGGAUAACAGCGGGAAACCGCUGCUAAUACCGGAUGCCUUUACCUUGGGGCAUCUUGAGGUAAAGAAAGGCAACGCUUUGGGAUGGGCCCGCGUCCCAUUAGCUAGUUGGUGAGGUAACGGCUCACCAAGGCGACGAUGGGUAGCCGGCCUGAGAGGGUGGACGGCCACACUGGGACUGAGACACGGCCCAGACUCCUACGGGAGGCAGCAGUAGGGAAUAUUGCGCAAUGGACGGAAGUCUGACGCAGCGACGCCGCGUGAGCGAUGAAGGUCUUCGGAUCGUAAAGCUCUGUCCUUGGGGAAGAAGGCGAAAGCUUGACGGUACCCAAGAAGAAAGCCCCGGCUAACUACGUGCCAGCAGCCGCGGUAAU